rnacentral:rRNA from 1 species
UGGCGGACGGGCGAGUAACGCGUGAGCAACCUGCCCUAUGCAGGGGGAUAACACCGGGAAACUGGUGCUAAUACCGCAUAAGACCACACUGGCACAUGUCAGAGUGGUAAAAGCUCCGGCGGCAUAGGAUGGGCUCGCGUCCAAUUAGCUUGUUGGUAGGGUAACAGCCUACCAAGGCGACGAUUGGUAGCCGAACUGAGAGGUUGGUCGGCCGCAUUGGGACUGAGACACGGCCCAGACUCCUACGGGAGGCAGCAGUGGGGAAUAUUGCGCAAUGGGGGAAACCCUGACGCAGCGACGCCGCGUGAAGGAAGAAGGCCUUCGGGUUGUAAACUUCUUUGGUCGGGGACGAAGAUGACGGUACCCGAAUAACAAGCCACGGCUAACUACGUGCCAGCAGCCGCGGUAAUACGUAGGUGGCGAGCGUUGUCCGGAAUUACUGGGUGUA